rnacentral:rRNA from 1 species
GGAAUUGUUCGCAAUGGGCGAAAGCCUGACGACGCAACGCCGCGUGGAGGAUGAAGAAUUUCGGUUCGUAAACUCCUGUCGAGCGGGACGCAAGAUGAGCGGGUUAAUACCCCGCGCAAGUGACCGUACCGCUAAAGGAAGCCCCGGCUCACCCCGUGCCAGCAGCCGCGGUAAUACGGGGGGGGCAAGCGUUGUUCGGAAUUACUGGGCGUAAAGGGCUCGUAGGCGGCCAAUUAAGUCACACGUGAAAUCCCUCGGCUCAACCGGGGAACUGCGUGUGAGACUGGAUGGCUUGAGUUUGGGAGAGGAAUGCGGAAUUCCAGGUGUAGCGGUGAAAUGCGUAGAUAUCUGGAGGAACACCGGUGGCGAAGGCGGCAUUCUGGACCAACACUGACGCUGAGGAGCGAAAGCCAGGGGAGCAAAC